rnacentral:tRNA from 1 species
AGCCGGAAUAGCUCAKWUGGUAGAGCAGAGGACUGAAAAUC